UGAUGGUGAUAAGGUCAACUUCUGAGCAUGCCCUUGAAUCUCUCCCAAGCUUGGUAGAGAUUUUCUCUAUAUUUUUAUCUAAAACUCAAUAUCUCACUCCUUAAUCG
rfam:Capsicum annuum cultivar Zunla-1 chromosome 12, whole genome shotgun sequence